rnacentral:rRNA from 1 species
UACAGAGGGGGCAAGCGUUGUUCGGAAUUACUGGGCGUAAAGGGCGCGUAGGCGGCCUGUUAAGUCGGACGUGAAAUCCCCGGGCUCAACCCGGGAACUGCAUCCGAUACUGGCAGGCUUGAAUUCGGGAGAGGGAUGUGGAAUUCCAGGUGUAGCGGUGAAAUGCGUAGAUAUCUGGAGGAACACCGGUGGCGAAGGCGGCAUCCUGGACCGACAUUGACGCUGAGGCGCGAAAGCCAGGGGGAGCAAAACGGGG